CGCUCGCCCGCAGCUGGGGUGUACUGCAACAGCCAGCCUCACUACGGAAGGGUUCUGGUGAGCCAACUGAGGUCAUUAGCCCUGGAGACAAGUACUUUUGGAGGCUAAGCCAGCCAGCCAGCCCUGUCAUCACUUGUGCUGUGACUUAUGACAGAGCAUGUAAGGUUUCUUCUGAGAAUCAGUGUUUUCCUGGAGGAAGAAAUGAGAAAAUAUCAACCACACACACUCAGGACUGAAAAACUCCAAACCUUAAAGUAAUAUCUUCUCUAAUGGAUAGUAAAAUGAAUCCAUGAAUUUAUCUGCAUGAUAAAAACUCAGCAUGAAAUCAAAUAGUUCCCUCUGUAAUGAUUACAUAUGACCAUACCAGAGCAUUGAGUCUGUGCUUAUUACAUAACCACGCCUGAGUAGGACAGCUGACCUUCAAACACAAAUACGAU
rnacentral:lncRNA from 1 species